rnacentral:rRNA from 1 species
ACUCCUACGGGAGGCAGCAGUGGGGAAUAUUGCACAAUGGGCGCAAGCCUGAUGCAGCCAUGCCGCGUGUGUGAAGAAGGCCUUCGGGUUGUAAAGCACGUUUCAGUCGUGAGGAAGGUAGUGUAGUUAUNGCUGCNUUAUUUGACGUUAGCGACAGAAGAAGCACCGGCUAACUCCGUGCCGCGCCGCGGUAAUACGGAGGGUGCGAGCGUUAAUCGGAAUUACUGGGCGUAAGCGCAUGCAGGCGGCUGUUAAGUCAGAUGUGAAAGCCCGGGGCUUAACCUCGGAAUUGCAUUUGAAACUGGCAGGCUAGAGUCUUGUAGAGGGGGGUAGAAUUUCAGGUGUAGCGGUGAAAUGCGUAGAGAUCUGAAGGAAUACCAGUGGCGAAGGCGGCCCCCUGGACAGUACUGA